UACAGAGGGGGCAAGCGUUAUUCGGAAUUAUUGGGCGUAAAGGGCGCGUAGGCGGCUUAGCAAGUGACGGGUGAAAUCCUUCGGCUUAACCGAGGAACUGCCUGUCAAACUGCAUGGCUUGAGACUAGGAGAGGUGAGUGGAAUUCCCAGUGUAGCGGUGAAAUGCGUAGAUAUUGGGAGGAACACCAGUGGCGAAGGCGGCUCACUGGACUGGUACUGACGCUGAGGCGCGAAAGCGUGGGGAGCAAACAGG
rnacentral:rRNA from 1 species